CGUGCACCAGUGGGGUCCCUCAGCCUGGCCUGUACCCUCUUGCAAUCCAGGACCCCUUGGGGGAUGUCAGAGAGCUGGUUUCAGCCCAAUUCUGCAGGCCAGGCUGAGGGACCCCACUGGUGCAAG
rnacentral:pre_miRNA from 1 species